GAGACCUUAUCUUAAUAAAAGUAUUUGAGUUGCAUUCAAGAGAUGAGGGUUAAUCUCCUUCAGGUCUUA
rnacentral:tRNA from 1 species